GUCGAGCUAAAAAUACGAAAGGAGCUUCAAUUGAUUCGACAACGAAAUGGGAAAAGCAUCGGCGACGCAUAUACCUUCGAUGAGCUUCGAGACAUGCACUAUCUCCAUGCUGCAAUUUCAGAAAGCUUAAGAUUGUACCCCCCAGUUCCUGUCGAUACAAAAGCUUGUCUACGCAAUGACAUUCUCCCAGAUGGAACAUUUAUUGGGAAAGACUGGUUUUUCACUUACCAUACAUAUGCAAUGGGGCGCAUGGAGGCAAUAUGGGGCAAGAAUUGCAAGGAAUAUCUGCCUGAAAGAUGGCUUGAUGAAAACGGAAACUGCAAGCAAGAAAGUCCAUUCCGGUUUCCCAUAUUCCAUGCCGG
rnacentral:lncRNA from 1 species